rnacentral:rRNA from 1 species
AUUGAACGCUGGCGGCAUGCCUUACACAUGCAAGUCGAACGGCAGCACGGGUGCUUGCACCUGGUGGCGAGUGGCGAACGGGUGAGUAAUACAUCGGAACGUACCUUAUCGUGGGGGAUAACGCAGCGAAAGCUGUGCUAAUACCGCAUACGCCCUGAGGGGGAAAGCGGGGGAUCGCAAGACCUCGCGCGCUUAGAGCGGCCGAUGCCUGAUUAGCUUGUUGGUGGGGUAAAAGCCCACCAAGGCGACGAUCAGUAGCUGGUCUGAGAGGACGAUCAGCCACACUGGGACUGAGACACGGCCCAGACUCCUACGGGAGGAGGCAGUGGUGAAUUUUGGACAAGGGGGGCAACCCUGAUCCAGCAAUGCCGCGUGAGUGAAGAAGGCCUUCGGGUUGUAAAGCUCUUUUGUCAGGGAAGAAACACCGGCUCUAACACAGUCUGGGAAUGACGGUACCUGAAGAAUAAGCACCGGCUAACUACGUGCCAGCCGCCGCGGUAAAAC